AGUAGACCAGAACAGCCCGGAGGAGGAGCUGGUACCCUGUAGUCUCCGCAUCGGCAUUAUAUCCGCAGGUUCAACGGACUGCAUCUGCUAUGCCACUGCCGGCAUCAAUGACCCUGUGACCUCAGCUUUACAUGUCAUAGUGGGAGACUUCCAGCCAAUGGACGUGUGCUCGGUCCAUCAC